rnacentral:rRNA from 1 species
AAUGAACGCUGGCGGCAGGCCUAACACAUGCAAGUCGAACGGAUCCUUCGGGAUUAGUGGCGGACGGGUGAGUAACGCGUGGGAACAUACCCUUUGGUACGGAAUAGCCUCGGGAAACUGGGAGUAAUACCGUAUGUGGUCGAGAGACGAAAGAUUUAUCGCCAAAGGAUUGGCCCGCGUUGGAUUAGGUAGUUGGUGGGGUAAUGGCCUACCGAGCCGACGAGCCAUAGCUGGUUUGAGAGGAUGAUCAGCCACACUGGGACUGAGACACAGCCCAGACUACUACGGGAGGCAGCAGUGGGGAAUCUUAGGCGAUGGGGGAAGCCCUGAUCUAGCCAUGCCGCGUGAUCGAUGAAGGCCUUAGGGUUGUAAAGAUCUGUCAGGUGGGAAGAUAAUGACUGUACCACCAGAAGAAGCCCCGGCUAACUCCGUGCCAGCCGCCGCCGUAA